rnacentral:lncRNA from 1 species
CUUCUGUAACUCGUUCGCUUAAGCGAACCAGGUGGUCGCUUAAGCGAGCUGCAAGCGAGUUGGGAAGCGUACAUUUCUGUAGCUUCUGUAACUCGUUCGCUUAAGCAAACCAGGUGGUCGCUUAAGCGAGCAAUUCAUUUUCCAGCACUUUGAAUUUUUGGUUCCGAGCUUUCUAUGGCCAAUCCGAACUUCUUUAAACACUUCUUUUAACUUGUAU